rnacentral:lncRNA from 1 species
GCUCUGGUGGUGCCGUCAGACCCAGGGGCUGCCGUCGUGACAGGUAGGCAGGCUGGGUGGAGGGUGAAGGUGAAAACCCUUCUCCCGUGGCCUCUGCGGGGCCCAUAUCACAGCGGAUGCAUGGCGGGCGUGUGUGUACUGCUAGCAUACCGAUAACGGCUGAGGGACUGAAAUUUGCAUUCAUUAAAAUUCCGGAACACCUACGUGCCUUACCACUACGGUUGCAUCUCCGGAUGAAAUAGAUAUCCCUGGCACACAUCCCUGGCAUGUGUGGAUGCAAGGGAGGUUAUGCAUUGGAUACAAGCCCACGGUGUUGUGUGCAGCGGGGUGUUGGGUGUCGCAUGUUGUACGUCGGGCAGAAUAUGAUAAACUAGCGACAAGCAGAAGCGCAGUAACGAAGGAGGGUCAGUUGUCGAAGACCUUUC